UCUGAUUUCUGAAGCGGACAGGAACCGCCACCUUUCCCUCCGGCUUCUGCGUUCGAGGAAUCGCGGCGUACAGUUAGAGAUAGAGAGAGGGAGAGAGUGAGAUAGAGGGAGAGAGUGCCGCAAAUUGCAUGCUAUCUAGACGGAGAAAUGGUGAUGCCGGAGUCAUCGGAGCGCCACCGGACUGUGUCUCGUCGACCGCAUGGACCGGCGAUUCGGCCGGUAGCAGGAGCUAGGGUUCCGCUAAGACGGUUACUCCGCGUGGCAUCUGUGGCGUCUGGAAUUCAAUUCGGUUGGGCUUUGCAGCUCUCUCUUCUGACUCCUUAUAUUCAAGAGCUCGGUAUUCCUCAUGCUUGGUCUAGUCUCAUAUGGCUCUGCGGACCGCUUUCCGGCCUCUUCGUGCAGCCGCUGGCUGGCCACAUGAGCGAUCGCUGCACCAGCCGACAUGGCCGUCGGAGGCCCUUCAUCGUCGCUGGAGCAGUUUCCAUCGUAAUCGCCGUUUUGAUAAUCGGUCACUCGGCGGACCUCGGUUGGUUGAUUGGAGACAGAGGUGGUGUUAGGCAUCGUGCGAUUGGAUUCUUUGUGGUUGGAUUUUGGCUUCUGGACGUGGCUAACAACUUCUCACAGGGUCCUUGUAGAGCUCUGCUCGCCGAUCUUACCGGUAAGGAUCAUCGGAGGAAUCGAGUGGCAAAUGCUUAUUUUUCUCUAUUUAUAGCUAUUGGUAAUGUUUUUGGAUAUGCGACAGGAUCUUUUAGUGGCUGGUACAAGAUUUUGCCGUUUACUCUUACCAAUGCGUGUUCUGUUAAUUGUGCAAAUCUCAAGUCAGCUUUCUUGAUUGAUAUUGUGUUCAUUGCAAUUACAACAUACUUGAGUGUAUCAGCUGUUCAAGAGUUGCCUCUAGAUUCAAGUGACAGGUCCUCCCUGGUUGUGGAAGAAGGUAUGGGGCAGUCAAAUCAUGCUUCAGAAGCUUUCCUCUGGGAGUUGUUUCGGACUUUUAGAUACUUUUCAGGGUAUAUGUGGGUAAUUUUGCUUGUCACUUCCCUCACAUGGAUAGGAUGGUUUCCAUUUACUCUCUUUGAUACUGAUUGGAUGGGUAGAGAGAUUUAUGGUGGCAAGCCAAAUGAAGGACAGAGUUAUAACUCUGGAGUCAGAAUGGGAGCAUUUGGUCUGAUGUUGAAUUCUGUCGUCCUUGGAAUAACUUCAUUACUUAUGGAGAAGCUGUGCAGAAAGUGGGGUGCUGGUUUUGUAUGGGGAAUUUCUAAUAUUUUUAUGGCUCUAUGUUUCCUUGCUAUGCUGGUUCUUACGUAUGUGGCAAAAAAUAUGGGCUAUAUAGGCCAUGAUUUCCCACCAAAUAGUAUCGUAUCAGCUGCAUUGAUUAUCUUUGCCCUUCUUGGCGCUCCUUUGGCAAUUACUUACAGUGUUCCGUAUGCCAUGAUCUGCUCACGUGUUGAAUCCUUACAACUUGGUCAAGGGUUGUCCGUGGGUGUCUUGAACUUAGCAGUAGUUAUUCCACAGGUGACUCUGGUCCUACAUUAUCUUUUUCUUAAGUUUUUUUUGCUCUGCGAGGGCGAAGUGAUAUCAACAUUUUCCUUUAAAGGAGUUUUCUCUUAACCUAUUAAAUACCCAUAGAAAAUAUAUAAUGUGUAUGCCUAGGACAGAACAUUGAUUUGGAUUCUUCUCUUUUUUUUUUAAUUGAAAUUUACUUUUGAUAGCGAUCCAAAUGAGUUGUUUGCUGGUCCUUGACCAAACUUAUCUAUGGUUUCCAAUAUUUCGAGGGUGGAUGUUCAAUCUGAUAACAGGAUUUAAGCUGAAUAAAAGUCUUAAAUAUGUGACAAUUAGAGAGAUGCUCUAGACAAUUGAGCUUGAGGGAGCGACAUCAUUUCAUCCUAUAGACAGACAUAGUCAGAGUAAACAGGUCUAUAAAUAUAUAUUUUUUCAUUUUUAAUAUUUAUUGACCUCUUGUGUCCGCAACCUCUUUUUCAUUUAUGUUAAGGUCUAAGGAGGAGGAGCAUAUGAGAAGGGAAUGUAUUGAAUAUCAUGUUAUACAUGAGAGAGUUGCCUGUAUUUUAAAUUAUUAUUUCAUGAGAGGGUAUAGAGUAUGCAAUUAUUUGUGGAAAAUGUUUCCUUUCUAAUUUUCCCUAUGAUUUGAUGACAUUAUUUUUUUUUCCUUUCCAUCAUUAUUUGAGGGAAUUUUUCUUUUCUAAUUUGUCCCAUUGUCUGCAAUGUUGCAAUCUUGAAGGACGUAGAAAUUUUUUGAUCUUUGUUUAGACUCAAUAGUUGGUUUUACACAAAUUUUGUACUUAUACUGUUUUUUUUAAUAUAUAUGUAUAUAUAUCCAACUGAAUAAAAAUCAUGUAUGAAAUGCACGAAAACCCCUAUAGUUGGGGAAGAGGUACAAUUGCAUUUCACUUGGAAAACAGAGAGUUUGCUGACCUUGUAUUUGCAAGAAGGAAAAUACGGAAGGUCUUAUCCUGAACUAAUGAAGGAACAUUACAGUUCGUGUGCUCCGUGUUUAGUCAUUUGACCAAAGUAUGUCUAAUUUGGACCGGCCUUUUUUGGGACAUAUCAAGACAAGAUUUUUCUUGAAAAUCCAGUGGUGGAUAUCCCUGUAGGCUGUUAGCCAGUUCACUUUUUGUCUGGGGAAAAUAUUUUAGGGGAUGCAGAUGAAAUACAUUUCCAUUUGGAAGAAAUCGCAGGGAGAGGAUUAGAGUUUGUCCAUAUCGAAAGUCCUGCAUUCACUUUUCAACAUGUAAUGGAUGAUAAUAUAAAUGAGAUAAUUUGACAAAAUAUUUUGUUUUUUCUUCAAAACUUUUUUGAUCGCUAGUGGACCUCCCUGUAGGAUUCAAUCCAGCCGAAAGAUUUGGCUGUUGCCUUAGGUAACAUUGUCAGAAACAUAUUUUGAUCUGAAGAUAUGGUGGACUUUGAGGGCCAUGGCAGUAAAAGAUUUUAACCUUUAACAAGGAAGCAUAAGUUGAACAUUUUUCUCUUUUCAUAAACAUGUGCCUCAUGGUUGGUGGAUUUUUUUUUUCUUUUCUUUUUCUAAUUUCUUUCUCUUCUUCUUUUGAGAAUCUGUUGCUUGAUAUAAUUAUUCUAUUCACUUUAAUUUCAAUUCCAUGCUUGUUUGAAAAAAAACAAAACAGAAAUGGUAUUUCUGGAAGCCAUAUAUUCUACCUAUACAUAUAUCAUUCAACUUUGCUUUUUAUAUGAAGGGGUCUUCUCUUUAGAGCUAAAAGUCAUGUAUAAUACAAAAAUUGAGAUCUCAAUUGAAAUCUUUUGCUGUGUUGUGAUGGGUAUCUCAAUUUUCUGGGUGAACUGUGCAUUUUAUAAUCUAAAUUUUGAGGAAGGGAUAGAUAGAGUUUUGUCAUAAUUAUGAUGGUCUAGGUUUCUGUGACUAAAAGGUAAAACCAGUUUAGCGUUCUGCAGAAUAAUCGUGUCUCACAAAGCCGUUUAUUUUCUUGGUCCCAUACGUUGUGCUUCUGUCUGCCUCAGAACAGAAGAGCAGGGUGGGGCUGGGUGCUGUGUUGAGAGACGUAAUUGCGUGAGACAUUCUGAAGACUCGAGCUUGUUUGAGAUUGCACUCUACUUUUCUUUUCUUUUCUUUUCUUUUCUUUUCUUUUCUUUUUCAUGUAUAUAUAUAUAUAUGUGUGACAAACCGAGGCUUGAUCUUAAAUAAUAAAGUCAAAUAUUUAGCCUCUAGUGCAUGUUAUGUCCUGAAAAUAUUGUGGAUGCAGUUAUACUUGCAAUCCGAUAUUCUACCAACGGAUGGACUGUAUUGUCUGGUAUUAACAAAAUUUUCAAAUUAAAAUAUCCCUUGAUCUAAUAUAUGUAACCUGCUAGUUCAAUCACAAUAAUUGGUUCUUAAAUCAAUUUUCAGUCAAUAAAUGAGCUCUCAUGUGGAAAACGUUAUGGUUGUGGUGUCCCUGGGAAGUGGACCAUGGGAUCAGCUGUUUGGUGGUGGAAACUCUCCAGCUUUUGCUGUGGCAGCACUUGCAGCCU